AGAAUAAUUGGACACCCUCAUGUACAAUAUUAUGUACCCAUGGAAUAAUUCAUUAGCAAAAUUCAUCCCCAUUUAUCUCAUGUGAAGAUUUAAGAACAUUUCGUAACCAUAGUUUUCUGUAGGCUUAACGUGUUCAUCACUAAGCAUGCCUCUAAAGUUCAACAAGUGAACAAGCUCGCAGGAAAAACCUUAGUGUAGCUAUUUAUGAAGCACGAAGAUGGCAAAAAUGGAGAUAUGAUAAUCCCGGUCUGUUAUUUCGGUGAUUUCGAACUAAAUGAAAAUAAUAAAUGGGAAUGAAGAUGGACGAGUGAUGUAUGUGGUUGUAUUGCAAUUCCCGUAACAGAGAGUAUAUCAUAUGCAGAAGUGUAUCGGGAUUUGCAAAAUAAGUUGAAUGUCGAUUCUUCUCAGUACAAUAUACAACUGAGAUAUUUAUUCAAUGGUUAUGGGGAUUCGUCCAUUCCGAUUUCAUCUA